UUCCGGUUGAUCCUGCCGGACCUGAUUGCUAUCGGAUUGGUACUAAGCCAUGCGAGUAAGUGUAGCAAUACACUGCAGACGGCUCAGUAACACGUGGUCAAGCUAACCUAUGGACGUGGAUAACCUCGGGAAACUGAGAAUAAACCGCGAUAGAUCAUGAUGCCUGGAAUGGCUCAUGGUCGAAAUAGUUUACUGCCGUAGGAUGCGACUGCGGCCUAUCAGUUUGUUGGUGAGGUAAUGGCCCACCAAGACUAUUACAGGUACGGGCUCUGAGAGGAGAAGCCCGGAGAUGGGUACUGAGACACGGACCCAGGCCCUAUGGGGCGCAGCAGGCGAGAAACCUUAGCAAUGUGCGAAAGCACGACUGGGUUAGUCCGAGUGAUUCCUGCUAAAGGAAUCUUUUGCCGGUCCUAAAAGCACCGGUGAAUAAGGGGUGGGCAAGUCUGGUGUCAGCCGCCGCGGUAAUACCAGCACCUCGAGUGAUCAGGACGUUUAUUGGGCCUAAAGCAUCCGUAGCUGGCUUUGCAAGUCUCCGGUUAAAUCAACCUGCUCAACAGAUUGGCCGCUGGAGAUACUACAAGGCUAGGGAGUGGGAGAGGCAGACGGUAUUCGGGGGGUAGGGGUAAAAUCCUCUGAUCCUCUGAGGACCACCAGUGGCGAAGGCGGUCUGCCAGAACACGUUCGACAGUGAGGGAUGAAAGCUGGGGGAGCAAACCGGAUUAGAUACCCGGGUAGUCCCAGCUGUAAACGAUGCAAACUCGGUGAAGCAUUGGCUUAAUGUUAAUGCUGUGCCGCAGGGAAGCCGUUAAGUUUGCCGCCUGGGAAGUACGGUCGCAAGAUUGAAACUUAAAGGAAUUGGCGGGGGAGCACCACAAGGGGUGAAGCCUGCGGUUCAAUUGGAUUCAACGCCGGGAAGGGCGAUCCAAUCGAAUU
rnacentral:rRNA from 1 species